ACCCGCUGAACUUAAGCAUAUCAAUAAGCGGAGGAAAAGAAACCAACAGGGAUUGCCCUAGUAACGGCGAGUGAAGCGGCAGCAGCUCAAAUUUGAAAUCUGGCUCUUUUAGAGUCCGAGUUGUAAUUUGCAGAGGGCGCUUUGGCUUUGGCAGCGGUCCAAGUUCCUUGGAACAGGACGUCACAGAGGGUGAGAAUCCCGUACGUGGUCGCUGGCUAUUGCCGUGUAAAGCCCCUUCGACGAGUCGAGUUGUUUGGGAAUGCAGCUCUAAAUGGGAGGUACAUUUCUUCUAAAGCUAAAUAUUGGCCAGAGACCGAUAGCGCACAAGUAGAGUGAUCGAAAGAUGAAAAGCACUUUGGAAAGAGAGUCAAACAGCACGUGAAAUUGUUGAAAGGGAAGCGCUUGCAGCCAGACUUGCUUACAGUUGCUCAUCCGGGCUUUUGCCCGGUGCACUCUUCUGUAGGCAGGCCAGCAUCAGUUUGGGCGGUAGGAUAAAGGUCUCUGUCACGUACCUCUCUUCGGGGAGGCCUUAUAGGGGAGACGACAUACUACCAGCCUGGACUGAGGUCCGCGCAUCUGCUAGGAUGCUGGCGUAAUGGCUGU
rnacentral:rRNA from 1 species